ensembl:lncRNA
CGCCCCGACCCCGCGGUGGAGAGGUUCUUAGGGGCUGGGGCUUGGGGGGAGGGGGUGGGACAUCAAUGACGGCCCCAGGUAAGGGGACAGGGGAGGAAGGUGUUCUUACAAGCCCUUUGGCUACUUUGCCCUUCCCAACUCCCCUCUGGGGCAAACGCCAUCUCUGCUUCUGGAACUUUCGGGUGGGGCUGCUCUACUUUCCUCUCAACGUCUUCCAAGAACCCUGGGGCGUCUGUAGAAGUUUCUGGAAGGUGGCGCUCAAGAAUGAAGGUUUAACCUCUCAGGUUCCUGCAGCCCAGACUAAAGAUUUGGGAGGGGUGAAAGGCCACACCCACCACCACUCCAGGGCUCCCGGGAUCGCCACACCUCUGGCAGCACCGACUCACGGACCUCAGCGACCAGAGGAACAUUGUCUCCUGUUACUCACCGCAGGUGGCUGCCCAGGGGAGAGCUCCAGGAGCAUCACCGACUGGCCUGGAAAGCCUUUCAUCUCUGCUCCAGCAGCAGUAGCUCUUUGAUUAUUAAUAAUUGUGUCUCCUCGCUUUGCAGCCUCCAACCAUCGCCUCGCUGUAAAUCCGGGGUGCCUGCUGGCCCGACCUGGGGCUCCCCCUUCCCUCCCCCUCCUGCUGCCUCCCCAUCCCUCGAGUCUCAGGGAUUUAAGGUCGAAAUGAACCUUAGAUUGUUUUCCAAGAGUUGUUGGGGUUUUUUUCCCCCCUCCUCCUCUCCAGGCUCUCUGUGCACCCACCCACUCCAACACCUGGCGUUUUCCUUCAACUGCACCCAUCAAGUCCACAGACACACAGGCCUCGGGCCUUUGCCUCCAUCACCGGCUCAGGGAAAAGGCAGCUUGCAAGAG